GAUGAACGCUGGCGGCGUGCCUAAUACAUGCAAGUCGAGCGAACGGACGAGAAGCUUGCUUCUCUGAUGUUAGCGGCGGACGGGUGAGUAACACGUGGAUAACCUACCUAUAAGACUGGGAUAACUUCGGGAAACCGGAGCUAAUACCGGAUGAUAUUUUGAACCGCAUGGUUCAAAAGUGAAAGACGGUCUUGCUGUCACUUAUAGAUGGAUCCGCGCUGCAUUAGCUAGUUGGUAAGGUAACGGCUUACCAAGGCAACGAUGCAUAGCCGACCUGAGAGGGGGAUCGGCCACACAGGAACUGAGACACGGUCCAAACUCCUGCGGGAGGCAGAAGUACGGAAUCUUCCGCAGUGGGCGAAAGCCUGACAGAACAACACCGAGUGAGUGAUGAAAGUCUUCGGAUCGUAAAACUCUGUUAUUAGGGAAGAACAUAUGUGUAAGUAACUGUACACAUCUUGACGGUACCUAAUCAGAAAGCCACGGCUAACUACGUG
rnacentral:rRNA from 1 species